rnacentral:lncRNA from 1 species
AUUUAAAAUUACAUCAUUUAAAAUUACCUAAUUUAAAAUUACUGCAUUUAAAAUUGUGCUUUUAACCAUUCUCGUAUUAUUUAGUGUGUGCUUUAAUGAAUAAAUCCAAACAUUGCGCAUUAUAACACAUAUAAUUACUAAAUAAAUGAGAAAAGAAAAAGUGCACUAACACGUGUUUUUGCUAUUUAUGUAUAUAUAUAUAUAUGUACAUAUAUUACAUGCAUAAAUAAAUAUAUAUAUAUAUAUAUAUAUAUAUAUAUAUAAUUUUUUUUUAUUUUAUUUAUUUUAUUUUUUUAUUUUAUUAAUUUUUUUUUUUUUUUUUNNNNNNNNNNAUUCAAAUUGACUAAACAGUGAAAUAGUUUAAUAGGUAAAUUAUAACCUUACGAUGACAGAUGCUAAUAUAAACCAGGAUAAAAAUUAUUUGUCAGAAAAUAGUGACAAUUAUUUAUCUUUUACAACAUUUAUGUCUGUUCAUCCACCCAAUGAUGAAUACUUUGAAACAAUUGAGGAUAAAGAGGUAGUAACGUCUAAUUUUUUAAACUCUAACGAAAGUAAAGAUAUACAAGAAAAUAAAAAAAAUUUAGAAAAGUCUUUCAACUGUUCACUUAAUGGAAGUGAAAAAAAAACGGAAAACCAAAAAUCACAUAGUACAAAUGAGUUAGAUAAAAAUAUACAAAAGGAAGUGACUAUAACUGAAAGUAAUAAUCAAGUAAUAUACCAAACUAAAAAUGAUGUAACUAAAAAUGAUGUAACUAAAAAUGAUGUAACUAAAAAUGAUGUAACUAAAAAUGAUGUAAUUAAAAAUGAUGUAACUAAAAAUGAUGUAACUAAAAAUGAUGUAACAGGUUAUGAAAGUGGUGAAAGUGAUGAAAACUGUGAAAACGGAAUAAUCGGAUUUAAUGGAUUUAGUGGAUUAAACGAAUUAAAUGGAUUAGACGGACUAAGUAACAAAUGUGAAUACAAAAAAAAAAAAAAAAAAAAAAAAAAAAAAAAAAAAAAAAAAAAGUGGGCACAACUGUACAUAAUAUAUAUAUAUAUAUAUACAUUUUUACAUACAUAUAUGUGCACCAAUUCUUUUUUUAUUUUUAUAUUUUAUUUUGGGAGGGGAGAUCUAUACAAUUUUUAA